GAAGAGGUAGUAUAUGGUGUGUAUGCCAGCUUUCUAUGCUGGAGGUGGGUUUUCCCCUCUUUG
rnacentral:tRNA from 1 species